rnacentral:rRNA from 1 species
GAUGAACGCUGGCGGCGUGCCUAAUACAUGCAAGUCGAGCGAACGGACGAGAAGCUUGCUUUUCUGAUGUUAGCGGCGGACGGGUGAGUAACACGUGGAUAACCUACCUAUAAGACUGGGAUAACUUCGGGAAACCGGAGCUAAUACCGGAUAAUAUUUUGAACCGCAUGGUUCAAAAGUGAAAGGCGGUCCUGCUGUCACUUAUAGAUGGAUCCGCGCUGCAUUAGCUAGUUGGUAAGGUAACGGCUUACCAGGGCAACGAUGCAUAGCCGACCUGAGAGGGUGAUCGGCCACACUGGAACUGAGACACGGUCCAGACUCCUACGGGAGGCAGCAGUAGGGAAUCUUCCGCAAUGGGCGAAAGCCUGACGGAGCAACGCCGCGUGAGUGAUGAAGGUCUUCGGAUCGUAAAACUCUGUUAUUAGGGAAGAACAUAUGUGUAAGUAACUGUGCACAUCUUGACGGUACCUAAUCAGAAAGCCACGGCUAACUACGUG